UCCAUUAUUUCCAGAGUAGUUUUGAUUAUAAAGAUCAUAAUCUUCUUAACAUAAUGGAAAUGUUUGAUGAGAAUGUCAGGGUUCUGAGCUCUUCAUGGAUACAGUUUUGCAAUAUUUUCA